rnacentral:rRNA from 1 species
UGGGGAAUUUUGGACAAUGGGCGCAAGCCUGAUCCAGCCAUGCCGCGUGUGUGAAGAAGGCCUUCGGGUUGUAAAGCACUUUCAGACGGAACGAAAUCGCGCGGUUGAACAUUCCGCGUGGAUGACGGUACCGUAAGAAGAAGCACCGGCUAACUACGUGCCAGCAGCCGCGGUAAUACGUAGGGUGCGAGCGUUAAUCGGAAUUACUGGGCGUAAAGGGUGCGCAGGCGGCCCCGCAUGUCAGGCGUGAAAUCCCCGAGCUCAACUUGGGAAUGGCGCUUGAAACUACGGGGCUGGAGUGUGGCAGAGGGAGGUGGAAUUCCACGUGUAGCGGUGAAAUGCGUAGAGAUGUGGAGGAACACCGAUGGCGAAGGCAGCCUCC